GGAAGGAAAACAGGAAGAGAAGGCGGGGCAGAUAGUGCUACGUGGAAUACGUGACCUACGUGUCCUACGUGUCCUACGUGACCUAGGCCGAAUGUAGUGAUUGUUUCUGAUUGGGGCAUGCGCAGGAAGGGAGCAGGGAAGGAUGCAAGGUAACUGUCUCCCUGGCUGUGCCGUCCUUCCAGGGUCUCUAAUCUAUGGAGGAGAAAGGGAGCAGGAAAAAGACGAAGGGCCAUCUUCAGGCUCGGCCUGAGCCACAGGCCUAGGACUCUGGAAAAAGGACCUUUGCUUGGAAUGUCCCAGCGCCCUAAGAACAGCAGCAGCACCGGAUGUAGUCUCUGCUUCCGGUUGUCAUCAGCCAAUGAGAGAAGGUUAAAGAGAACACUAGCGUUUUCCCACAGGAGAAUGCGACAACGUGUUGGGGGAUCGUAUACACAAAGGGAAAUCAGAUGUGAGAGACUAGAAGUAACAGAUAAAGUCCAUCACGCAUCAAAUAUCUGCAGAAACUACUGUAGGUUGACAAGAUCAAGACAAAACAGAUCGAAUUCCCAGGGUGUGUUUCAGCUGUUGGGAAGCAACAUGGAGGGUCAGAUGAUCAUGAAGGCAGGAGCUGUGUUUUAUUUUCCAUGAAUUCUCUGUGCCGCCCAGUCAAUGUUUGCUGCAUUAAAUCCAGGCACACUUGGUAUAGAAAAUGCAACCUUGUGCCUAUGUUAGUUCUCAUAUUGAAUAUGUCUGGGCCUCUGCCAAUCUUUUCUGUUCUUUGCACUUCACAAAUUGGUGACAGGGCAGCAGAUAC
ensembl:lncRNA